rnacentral:guide_RNA from 1 species
AAAAACCAAACGAUGAACUUGAUUGUAGUAUAAGAUAAUAU